UAUCUACUAUGGCAUCCUUUUUAAUUAUAAUAUUCAAUAUGAUGGUGUCAUUGAUGGUGUAGGUGGUAAUAGUAAUGAUAGUGCUAAUGAUGUUGAUGGUGGGGAUGAGAGUAAAGCUGAUGUUGGAGUUGAGAUGUAGUUAAGGGUGAAGAUGAUGUCGGAAUUGAGGGUGUAGCUGAGAAAGAAGAUAAUGUUGGAGAUAAGGGUGUAGGUGAGGAAGAAGACGGUAUUUGUAAUACACCGAACUUUAGCAAAUUGUAAGGUUCGAGUGUUUGAUCUGUGUUCCAAGUUUUUUCAGAUAUUCCAGAGGGUCGUUGACAGUGUUCUGACCGAUGGCUCGCAUCCCGAGAAUCGAGGUUUAAAACUUAGCACUAAAAUCUCUAAAGUGAAUAUUUUAGGCUACUCUCGGGUUGGACUCUACAGAGCAGAGUACCGGUACAGCAUCGGGCUCGUACCGGAACUGGAGGUGGUACCGGUACAACAUCGGGCUGGUACCGGUACCCAGUGUAUUUUUCUGCGAACCCGAGGCUCGGGUUGGCGUAGACUGCUGCUUGGUACCGGUACUCUUUUUCGUGUACCAGUACGCAGUGCAGACUGCAAACUGCUCAUUUUUUAGAGGUGUUUUUGCAUUUGUAGCAACACUAUAUGUUACCCCACGCCCCUUGGAGGUUCCCUGAGCUUGGCAACACAGGAGAGAAAGGUAAGGGGCCCUCCUCACCUCUUCUAUGGAUUUCUUCCAUUUUAGUUGGGAUUUUUGAGGUUUAAUCACCUUUUUUUAUUUUUUUUUGCUUCUUGGUGCUAUUUCCACCAUGAGAGAAGUCUUGGAGCUUGGAUUGAAACUUGUUGCAGGAGAGAUCUUCAAUCCUAGUUGAUUUCUAACCUUGUUUGGAGCUUCUAAAGAGAUUAGUAGCAUGUUUCCCUCAUUUAAUCUAUGUUUUGGUGGAUUUUCAUGUUGAAACCCUAGAAUGAGAAAACUAGGAUUUAUUUUGGGAAUUUUUGAUUUAUAGCUCUUGGGGCUUAUUUGAUAGGUGUAGAAUAUCUCGUUGAGGUAGAUUUGAAGGGCUCUAGCUUCCAUUUGAAAUUUGAGAGGGUUUUUCCUACAUUUAGGUGAGUUUUGCCCUAUUUGUGGGUUGAUUUGAGAUGAACACUUCGGGUGUUCAUUUGCUUUGUCUAACUCUCUUAGAAAUUACUUUGGGGAGCUAGAAGACUCGUGGACACCUUCAUUCGUGCAAACGAAAGGGUUGCAAGGAGCUCUUGGUGGGUUUGACCUCACCGAGAUAGGUGAACUCCCCCUAUGCUUUAUUCUUUGUCGUAAAAUAGAAAUUCAUAAAUAUUCAUACUAGAUAGGGUAUAAUGAAUUUUAGAACGAUUAAAAUGCAUAUGUUAUAUAUCAUGAGAUUUCGUCUCUAUGUAGUAGAGAAAUAGGUGCAAAGUGCUCAUGCUAGUAUAUGAAAUCCUCAUGAUGUGUUGGAACCAUGUUAUAUGUAGAUGAAUGACAUGCAAUUACUUGCUCAUGAACAAUGGACAUAUGUUAAAUAUAGUAGAAUUAUAAUAUCAUAAAGUGGCAUUGUACUUGGUGUAUGCAUGGACUUAGUGAGCUACAAUGUCAUAAAGGGGCAUUGAGCUUAGAAUAUGUUUGGGCUUGGUAAAUUUAUAAUGUCAUAAAUUAGCAUUAGAUAGUAAAUGGUUGAUCCUUUACCUCGUGACAUAGUACUAGACCUUUAGGGUUGCUAGUAUUAUAUCAUGUUGAGACAUGAUGACAGAGUACUUGAGAUGAUGAUUACGCUUGAUUGCCAUUUGUGCUCAUUCGCACAUGCUUGUGAGGGUCGCUCCCUACAAGCCGGAACUCCGGAGUUGGCCUACGCGACUUAUACUCGCCCGUGCAGAAUUGAGGGCCUACUGGGUUUCCGUGGGACAGUCACAUUCCUAUAGAAAUGCUGGACUAUCCGGGGCCAGUAGGCUGCACAAGUUGGACUCUACUUGUGUAGGUCCUAGAUUGGAAAUGGAAUAUGACAAUGUAACAACUAAGUGACAUUUACUACUUGAUAGUAGGUAUUGGUUGGGCAUAUUAUUACACUAGUUGGACUUAGUAGUAUAUUGAUGGACUAUGCUUGGUGCAUAUUUACAAUUAUGAUGAUCAUGUUUAGAACAUACUAGUGUAUUCCUUGGAUAUAAUCGAUCAUGAUAGAUUAGUAACUUUUCAUGUUUAUAUCAUGCUAAACUUGCGACAUCCUAACUUAGCCAAAUUAAUUGUUGUAUUUCCUUACAUGUUGUUUAUUAUAGUUCUUAUACCUCUUUAGCCUAGUGGAGUAUUUUCGCUGAGGUCAGCGGUUUGUCCAUUGGGAACUAUUGUUUAAUAGUUUUCAUGCCUUUUAUUUGUUGUUUAUUUCAGAGCCUUCCACGCCGGGAGAGGCUCGGGACCGCGGCAAGGGCGUCGCUUCGGGAUAGCUAGCGAGGAGUCUUACUUUAGGUAGUUCAUUUUCUCCUUUUGUUUUGGUUGGAGAGAAUGAGAGUUUUGUACCCUUUUUGUAGAGACUACCACCUUAUGUAUCUAGUGCUAUUUAUGGUUCUUAAUGUAUUUAUCUAACUUCGGGAAUGAUGAUCUUCUAGUCUAGUUACUUAUUUCUCGUGGUUAGAUUCUAGCUUUAUUUAUGCUCUGAUAUCUCUAGAUGUCUUGUUUCCUUGCUUUCGUAUACUAUUGCUCUAGACGCCUUAUAUGUGUAGGCAUACGGCGGGUCUGGAUACGCAUCAAGCGGGUUUUCGCUGGGUUCCGGGGCGUGACAGAUUAUUUUGGUAUCAGAGCCUAGGGUUGAGUCUUAGUGGACCUAGCAAAUCUUAGGCCGAUUGGACUAUAGAAAAUAGGCUCGUGAGAGACGGGGUCUAUUUGACUUAUAAGCAAAAGUAUCAUGAUUGGGUAUUAUAUAUACUCUAAAAGGUUGGAGUUUAAUCGAAGUGUAUAGCUUCUAACUUCACGGAUGGUUACGUUGGCGGCCGGCAACGUAACAUCGGGAGUUAGUAGUAAAGAACACUUCAUUACUUUCGCAUGAUUUGGGGUAUUAUUCUCUUUGAGCGGGGUUGCGAUGGCGUGGAUUUUACUAACUUGCGCUUUUAUGAUAUUAUAGUGACGAUGCCGAUUACUCGCUCUAAAUUUGUUGGGGCGGAGAAUGCGGCAAACCCCGAGGAGGUGGAGACCUCCGCUACUUCCGGAUCUAGCGAGGUCCGCGACUUGAGGUCCCAGCUUACGAUCCUCACUGAUCUUGUGGCUCAGCAGGCAGCGGUGGCUCAGCGGCAGGCAGAUGUGGCGCACCGACAGGAGUCACGGAUGUAGCGGUUGGAGGAUCUUUUAUUUCAGCAGGCAGCUGCGAGGGAGGCUCAGGAUUCGGCACCACCCACGCCGGUAGAGGACGUGGCACCGCGGGCGCCGUCCCCCGCGCCUGGUGUUCCACAAGCGGCGCUUUUUGUUGAGCCUCGGGAGGAGGUUUUAGCGGCACCACCGGCUCAGGUGCCCCCGGCAGGAGCGGCUGUCCCGAUGAUGGUUGAGCGAGCAGAGCGAGACCGGCUUAUAGAUCGCCUCAACGAGUUCAAGAGAUGCAAUCCGCGAAUUUUUGACAGGGAGAAAGUGGACACUGGAUAGUAGAGAAGUGGCUCAUGCAUAUGGAGAAGUUAUUCCACGACACCUUUGUAGAGGAGCGCAACAGGGUGUGGCUCGCCACUCACAACCUUGACGGCGAGGCCUAUUGCUGGUGGUUGGAUAUACGGGACAACCCGAACAUGGAUCUAUCCGGGAUCUCUUGGAAGAGGUUCAAGGAGCUUCUAAUGGCAAAGUACUUUCCAGAGAGCGUCAAAAGAAAGAUGGAGCAGGAUUUGCGCAGCUUGGGCCAAGGGGAUCGGACUGUGGUAGAGUACGAGAGGGAGUUCUCUUGGCUUCUUCAUUGCGUGCCUUUCGUCGUGCGGGACGACGAGGAUAAGGCCUGCAUCUUUGAGCGUGGACUUCAGCUGUAGAUCUUUCGAUUUGUGCAAUCCUCCAACCUCCAGACUUAUCGAGAUGUGGUGAACCGCGCGCUCAUUGUGGAGAGCGGUGCGGCGGAUUUGCAGGAGCGUCGAGAAGGGUUGGAUAAGGGUAAGGGUAAGAGGCCCGCGGCUGAGGGUGCGAGCCAGACGCACUUAGGGAGCCGCUGAGAUACCCUAGGAGCCAGUCGCGUGGGCGCGGCCCGACCACGCAACGUAGGGGAUCUGACCGCCCCCGGGCUCCUCGUUGUGUGAUCUGCGAUGACUCUCAUCCUCCGCGGCAGUGCACAAGACGUAGGGGCAGGUGCUACUUGUGUGGCCAGGAGGGCCAUUUCCAGAUUGAUUGCCCGAGGGGUUCACUUCCAGCGCCAUCAUCUGCAUUGGCACCAGCUUCACCUGGUCCCAGCCAGGGGACUUCUUCUGCUCCCUACCAGACUGAGCGGCCACCCAUCCAGCGACAGACUGAGGGGUCACGACAGGCUCCGAGUGGGCGCAUGUAUGCGGCCCAGACAGAGGAGGCGGCAGCAGCCGAGCAUGUGGUGGCAGGUAUCAUUUUAUUAUAUGGCAUUCGAGUUCGAGCUUUAUUUGAUACCGGUGCAUCGCAUUCAUUCAUAGAUUGGCUAUUUUUCGAGUUGUAUGGCAUCCCACUUGUUUCUUUGUUGCAUCCGGGAUGUGUUGUAGUCCCCGACCACUCUUUAGAUAUUCGAGAGUUUUGCCCCAGUUGUUCCGUUCGGGUAGGAGAUUGGAUCAUGCCCGUGGAUUUUCUAGCACUACAUAAACUUGGAGAGUUUGAUGUAGUCUUGGGCAUGGAUUGGUUGACCAAGUAUCAUGCUACUAUCGAUUGUGUGAAUCGAACAGUUACCUUUAGAAAGCCGAGACAGGAGGAUGUGGUGUUUAGGGGAUGUCAGAGUUCGCUGUUUGCGAUGACGAGCAGUAUGUCUCGUGCUAGACAGUUGAUUAGUAGAGGUUGCACAGCCUAUUUGCCUAGUGUGGUACUGAGGGGGUGAUGAUGACACUCCUAGGAUUGAGGAUAUCCCAAUAGUACAGGAGUUUGGUGAUGUGUUUUAAGCAGAGCUACCAGGUAUGCCACCUGAUAGGGAGAUUGAGUUUGUGGUAGAUCUCAUAUCUGGGACUACUCCAAUCUCAAAGGCAUCCUAUAGGAUGGCACCGGCGGAGUUGAAAGAGCUGAGGGCACAGUUGCAGGAUUUGUUCGAUAAAGGUUUUAUUCGACUGAGUAUCUCGCCGUGGGGAGCGCCAGUUUUGUUCGUCAAGAAAAAGGACGGAUCACUUCGCUUGUAUGUGGACUAUCGUGAACUUAAUAAAGUCACGAUCAAGAACAAGUAUCUGUUACCGAGAAUCGAUGAUCUGUUUAAUCAACUUCAAGGAUCAAGUGUGUAUUCCAAGAUCGACUUACAGUUGGGAUACCACCAGUUAAAGAUCAAGCCUGAGGAUGUAUUGAAGACGGCUUUUAGAAUACGGUAUGGACAUUAUGAGUUUACUAUUAUGCCGUUUGGGCUUACUAAUGCCCCGGCAGUAUUUAUGGAUCUAAUGAACCGUGUUUUCAUGCCUUAUUUAGACAGGUUCGUGAGAGUUUUGAGGAGCCCUAGGAUCUAUCUAGAUUGUAUCAAACACCUAGAGGGGGGUGAAUAGGUGUAACGGCCAAAAACCACAAAUCUUAAUGCAAUAAAAGUAAAUGCGGAAAAUAAAAAUCACACCGAGAUUUACGUGGAAAAACUCCAACUUGGAGUAAAAAAUCCAUGGGACCAACACGCGAAAAAAUAAUUCACUAAGAGAAAAGAUUAUAAGGGAUUACUGACUCCACGGACUCGACCUCUCUUAACCUCCUAUGAAUCUCGCGCAAUCCUCCGAGUUGUCCAUGCCCUCACGUUCGAAUUCACGAACGUCUCACUCACGUCCGAAUCUACGAACGCCACUCGAAUCCACGAGCCCACGAUCCAAAUCCACAGACCGCCUUCGUUCACGCCGAAUCCACGACGUCGUCCAUGAAAAACAUCAUGCUAUGGUGAUCCUUCGCUUAGCAUAUCGAUGAAGAACCAGAGACAAAACUCUAAGCGAAGUCUUAGAUCAAUUCGACAUAUAGAUCUCAAAUUACGAUAUCUCGAAUUGACCUAAAACAGGUCAUUUUGUAGAAAAUAAGUUUUGGACGAAAUCCUAACCAAUAGGGUUUCUCAAGCAUGUAUUCUCGUGAUACUUAAUGAGUUAGAGAACCCUAAUAUCUUAUUUAUAGACUUUAGAAUCAAUUAGAGUCGGAUUAGAAAGUUUUUAGAUUUUUACACCUGGUACCGGUACUAAAUCAAGUUGUUACCAGUUACAAAAAGGACGACACAGAAAACUACUUCAAUAUUGAUAACCGGUUACAAUGUCAAUGUUGUAUCGGAAUCAAGUUAGUACCGGUACUCUUUCAAUGCUGUACCGGUACAAUAUACAAAUUUUCAGCAAAACUUGAUUUCGGGUUUCAUAAAGUUCCGAAGCACUUUCUAAUCCACUAAACUUUGAUUUUCAUAAUUCUAAUGUCUAUAACUAAGUAUGAAUCAUCAUAACAUGAAUUAAAAGCUUACUUGAGCAUCGUGAUUCAUGUCGUGAGUUAUUUCUGAUUUUUCCAAAGUCUUGGAUUCUUCGAUCUUCGAACGAUAUGCACCGAUCCUUCAAGACUCCGACUCAAUUCACGAAACUUGCCAACACAUAAUACUUAACAAUCUCCCCAUUUGGCAAUUUUGUGACAAAACACAAAAACUCAAAAAAAAAAUCUUAAAAGAAAAAACGAAGUUCAAUGUCAUCACCAAAACACCGAACCCCUCGCGUGUAAUCCAAAUACAAUGUGAAAUUCAAAAAUACAUCAAAUCUCCUAAAACAGACUCUACGACUUAGACGCAACUAGUAGUCUUAAAGUCUUGAUUUCCUACAAAACAAAUUAUCCAAAAACAAUGUAGAAAUUUGAAACCAUUGGAUUCUUAUUAUACCUUCAAGUCAUUGUCGAUGUCGAAAUUUCAUUCCUUCUCCCCCUUUGUUCUUGAAGUCUUUUCCUGCUUUGAUCAAAACCUGUCCAUCUAUGUUCUCCCCCUUUUUGUCAAAAAUUGCCAAAACAAUGCAUAUAGAGAGAAAAGAUACUAGAAAGCAGGAAAGUAGUCAUGUCAUAGUUACAACCCUAAAGAGAAAUGCAAAGACAAGCAAUGAUAAACUAAAACAUCGUCCUAAAAGAAAGACAAAAACAAACUAAGUGCGAAGAUGAAAUCAGUCGGUGUCCUCCUCAUCAUCAUCAUCUCCAGCUCCCUCUCCUCCUACGUCUGGUGUACUAGUGGAAGGUGGUAUAAGUGGAUGUGUCGAUGUCGACCUGGUAUAGGUAGGAAAUACAUCGUCGUGUCGACAUCCAAGCUUCUCCCAAAUUCUCUUCAUCCCUUCUUCCAACUUUUUAAACCUUUCUUAAUAGAAUGCACCUCACGGUGAAGUGACUCUACAGUAAUCACUCCCCCUGAACUCGAAGAUCCCUCAGCCUCUGCACGACGUGGAGGUGCGGAACUAGAAGCUGCUCUCGAAGAUCCCUUCGUCUACUGAAAAGUCUUCAAUGUGCUCACUGACUUGGCCCAUGUCACUCGAUCAAUCGGUCCAAGGCCAUAGUCAUAUUUCUCACACGUCACGUCUACUCCAUUUUCUUGCAAAAUUCGUGUGAUCAACAUAGGAAAUGGAAGUAGCUCACGUUGUCCCGAAGAUUGUAUCACGUGCACCAUUCAUUGCCAUAUAAGAAAAUGAAUGUUGAGAUUCAAACCAUCUGCAAGCUCAGGAUGGCCAAGUAGAUAUAGAAGAACAAGCCGAUCCCAGCAAAUCCUCUUAGUCCCAAUAGUCGAUUGAACAUUGUAACAAAGCACCAAGGACAAAAGGUGAUACUCCGGCUUCAAGUCCUUCGAUUCUACAUAAGCAUGGUUUGUCCUCGUUCCAUCUUUGCAAAUAGCACGAAUAACUGUGCCCCAGUGAGAUGAAGACUGAUAAAUCCCUGUAAUGAAGACCCGUGGUAUCGACAUUCAACCCCAAAAGCUCACCAACUGUGUGUGGGGUAACAAGAAUCCUCUGCUGACGUACAUAUGUCUCGAAUAAGUACGUGUCGGUCUCCUCAUCCACUGCAAGAACCUUUCCAUACAUGUAAAACUCCCAAAUGAGUUCCACACAAAAAGGUGAACGUGCCGGAACCCGUCCAACGGGCUCGAUAGGAGCUCUCUGCAGUAAACGCCCAAAGUCUGGAACCUCCUGAACAAGCUCCUUGAAAUUCACAUAACGUUCCCCAAGGCACGAUCUGCUUGAGAAUGCUUUUCGCCGCUCCGUUUGAACCUCUGCAGCGUGCUUUGAGCGACUUUCACGGCCACGAGCUCCACCUUCGCAUAUCACAGGGCCACCUGUGCUUUGCCUAGGAGGAGAACCCUUUUUCUUACAUGAGGUUUCAGCAGCUAUCCGUUUGCCUUUGUCGGUUCGAACAACUGUUUCUUCAGCCUCCUCGUGGGAGCUAGCCCGAUAAUCUGGAUCAGAAUCUGACGACUCGUCGACAGUACGAGUCCUCUUAGAAGCCCCACGACGGCCUCUACCGCGACCAUGACCAUGACCACUUCCCGUGGCCAUAAGCACCAAUAGAGCCAAAAGCAGUGAAAAUGCCAUUUUCCUACAAAAACAGACCUUGCAUGAAUAAAAUCUGUAAAAAUAGCAAAAAAAAUUAUAAUAAUCUUAGAAUGCAUAACUACACUAUUUUUAACUAAUUCGAGCAAGAUUUAUCAUAAAAAGUGGCAUUUAACAUGUAAUCCCGAAAAUUUGUAUAUAAUAAGGUAUAGAUCAUAGAUCAGCAAAAAAAAUGCAAUAUGUCAUGAUCUAAGUGUUCUAGAAGUGAGAAUAUAUGUAUAUAAACUGAUUCAAGGCAAAAAAUUGCAACAAAAACGGUUCAAAACUGAGAUCGAGCUUCGUCUUAGAUUUCGUUCGAAAAACAGCAAGAACGGGAGAAAAUGAUUAAAUCCGAGGAAGAUACUUACAAAUCGUUGAUGGAAACACGUGGAUCUGGAGGAGAAGAUCACCUGGGAACUUUAGAGAGCGAAAGAGAGAGAUUUGGUUGUGAUUUGAAAGAGAAACGAAAACCUGUAACCGGUUUAUAAAAUGCGGUCUACAGUACUGGUACCGGUACACGAUCUAGUACCGGUAUCGGUUCACAGAUUUCGAAAAAUUUUUCUUAGAAAGCUUCAUAAUUAAAUUAAAUUUAUAAAAAUUAAGGAUUGUACUCCAAAAAUCAUUAUAAUGAAAAUAAAAUAUUAUAAGAUUUCCAAAUUUAUCUAAACAUCAAAAUUUUGUUAUAAAAAAUAACCUAAUGAUUUAAAAUCAUCAAGAUGUAACGGUUAAUGAAAAAUGAUUUAAAGAAAUUCGGCAAAAUUGACAUCAAUUUGUCGCAACUCGUUCAAAAUAGAGAUUUAACCAAUAAAACACAGGGGGUGGCUCUUUGAGUAUCUUUUCAUCCUACUACCUUAUAACUCCGAAAAAUCUAAAAUAUUCAAAAUUUUCAACUUUUUCGGCUAUUCAAUUAAUUUCCAUGUGGUUGCUUCACACACUUACCGGACGACCGGGGUGGUAGCUCUUUCCUAUAUGUCGUGGUAGUUUUCACACUCCUUUUGGAUGUAACUCUUUCCACAUCUUUUAAACAUAAGAGUUUUUUUCUUUUCUUUUUUUAAAUCAUCAUUUUUUUUAAAAAAAAAUAUCAAACUCCCCCUAAAUUAGACAAUCUCACAGUUGAAAGUAAUUUUGACAAAUUUUAAUCUAUUAGCGAAUAUCCAUUCAUCAUAUUCAACAUACACAACCAAGAUAGAUUAAUCGCCAAGAGAUCAAAAUUGAUUCCAUAAUUUGGAUGAAUAUAUGUAUUAAGAAAUCAUAUAAUAAAUUAUCGCCAAAAUAAUAAAAGUAGAGUAAAACCGAUAAUUAAUAUGAAUUUAACUCAAGAUGAAAAUGAAUUUGGUUAAGGUACUUUGAAAAAAUUUAAUCUCCCCAAAUUAAUGAUUUUAAAAACAUCAUCUCUCUCAAAAAUUUUUCAAAAUAUAAUUCCCAAUCAUCUUUCCAAACCGAUUCAAAACAAAUUUCAAGCAUUCAAAAAUCGUCUAAACAUGUAAUGUAAUGAAUAAAAUAUGCAAUAAGUACCAAUCAAAGCAUUACAUAUAUAAAAACAAACUAAGACGAAUUAAGAACAAGGAAAGAUAUCACCUUUCCGGAUCCAAACUUGUCGGAUCGUUGGUCGUCUUGGCUUGUCGAUGUUAGGCACAACUCGUUUUGACUUUUGAUCCACCGUUGGUUGCUUCGUUGCAUGAGACUUCGGUUGAAAUUGCCGUUGAAGCUUUGAAUUCCAGUUUGCUUGUUGUACUCGACUAGAUUGAGUUUGCUUUGAAUUCCGAUAGGGAUUAAAGGGUGCCAUCAGACGUUUAGAAGUUGCCGGUUGAUUUUUCUUAUUUUUGUUCGGGCAACUCUUUUUGAUAUGUCCUUUGAUGCCACAUCCAAGACACACCUUUUCUUUUGAAUUUGUUGAGAUAUUAGAAAUUUGCUUUAAAUCCUUCUCAACAUAAGUCCUCAUAUCUGAGGCCAAGCUUGUUCGUUUGACCCAAUCCGAGCAUGUGAUCCAAUUUCUUUGAUCCGGAAGAAAACUUUUGAACGUCGGAUUGAAGUUGACAAACUUGAUUGGUCAAGACUUGAUUGGAUGCGUGAAUUUCCUUGAAUUGAUGCUCCAAAAAUCCAAUCUUGUCUUUAGAAGAUUUAAUCAUUAAUUCCGCUUCAUCAAGCUUCUCUUGGAGGAUUGAAUUGUUCUUAAAAAAUGAUUCAUUUUCCUCCUCAAGAGCUUUGUUUAUAAUCUUCUCAUUCUUGUUCUCCUCUUCAAGUUCCAAUAAAUGCCUCCUCAACUUCUUAUUAUGCUUCGCCAUCUUCUUUGAUUUGAUAAGAAGUUGAUUGUACACUUCCGCUAAAUCCUCGUCGUUUGACUCCUCGCUCUCGUCAUCAUUGCUCAAAGUACCAUGCAAGGAAGGAGAAACACUAGAAUUAGAAACAAUUGAGGAUAAACAAACAACAUUAGACGAAGGCAAAGAAGUGUUAGUAAAUAAAGCAAGAUUUUCAUUCUUUUCUUCGUCAGUAAAUAAAGCAAGAUUUUCAUUCUUUUCUUCGUCACUUGGAGUUGAUUCAUCCGAAGUAGAAUCAUCCCAAGUUUUUACUUGCAAAACCUUUUGUUUAUAACUUUUCUUAGAAGGACAAUCCGUAGAAAUAUGGCCGUAGCCUUUACAUUUGUAACAUUGGAUUUUUCCUUCAAAUUCAUCUUUUUCUUUAGAAGGCUUUGGAAGUUUCUUAUUCUUAGAUUUUGAAUUCGAGGAAUGUUUAGAAAAAGAUUUUUGCUUCGAAGAUGAAGCAUUAUUCGAUUUGUUCUUCUUUCGGAGCGCUCCUAACUUCUUCGUUAGGAACGCCAAUUGAUAUUCAAAAUCCGCAAUUGAGAUCUCUCCGUCGGAACCCGAGUCCUCGUCUUCCUCCUUUGUCAAUUUCAAUGCAACCCCUGUACUUUUAGAGAAAAACUUGGAAGAAGAUUGGUUAGUAGGAAAAGUCAUCUCAUAAGUUUGUAAAGCACCUACUAACUCUUCGACUUUCAUCUCGUCCGGAUGCUUAACUGUUUCGAUUGCGGCAACUUUUGCCCUAAAGCGUUCUGGAAGAGUUCGAAGAAUUUUUCUAACAACUUUUGAUUCUGGGAUUUUUCUCUCUCAAGUUAGCACAAGUAUUAACAACAUCUUGAAGUCGCGUAUAGUACUCAGUAAAGGUCUCGUUUUCUUCCAUAAAAAUUGAGUAAAAUUUUCUCGUUAAUACUUGCAAUUUUUGGACCUUUACGAAGCUAGUUCCUUCAUGCGUAACUUGUAGAGUAUCCCAAAUCCCUUUGGUGGUUUCACACGCCGAAACGCGAGUAAACUCCGUUUGAGAUAAUGCAUUAAACAAAGCAUUUAUUCCUUUACCAUUGAACGAAGAUGACUCGUUUUCAUCUUUUGUCCACUUAUUUCUCAGUUUAGGGACGGUAGCAUUAUCGACGACUUCGGUGGGAUGUUUUCAUCAGAAUUCGAUUGAUUUCUAUACCCGCUCAUCGAUUGCGAUUAGAAAAGUUCUCAUGCGAAUCUUUCAAUAGGCAUAAUUUGUGCCAUCAAAGAGUGGUGGUCGAUUAAUGUUACCGUCUUCGGCCAUUAGAUAACAAUAUAUCUAGAUCCGGCUCUAAUACCAAUUGAGAGUUUUGAGGAGCCCAAGGAUCUAUCUAGAUUGUAUCAAACACCUAGAGGGGGGGUGAAUAGGUGUAACGGCCAAAAACCACAAAUCUCAAUGCGAUAAAAGUAAAUGCAGAAAAUAAAAAUCACACUGAGAUUUACGUGGGAAAACUCCAACUUGGAGUAAAAAACCCACAGGACCAAUACGCGAAAAAAUAAUUCACUAAGAGAAAAGAUUACAAGGUGAUUACCGACUCCACGGACUCGACCUCUCUUAACCUUCUAUGAAUCUCGCGCAAACCUCCGGGUUGUCCACGCCCACACGUUCGAAUCCACGAACGCCUCACUCACAUCCGAAUCCACGAACGCCACUCGAAUCCAUGAGCCCACGAUACGAAUCCACGAACCGCCUUCGUUCACGCCGAAUCCACGACGCCGUCCAUGAAGAACAUCAUGCUAUGGUGAUCCUUCGCUUAGAAUAUCGAUGAAAAAUCAGAGACAAAACUCUAAAAGAAGUCUUAGAUCAAUUCGACAUAUAAAUCUCAAAUUACAAUAUCUCGAAUGACCUAAAAGAGGCCAUUUUGUAGAAAAUAGGUUUUGGAUGAAAUCCUAGCCUCUAGAGUUUCUCAAGCAUGUAUUCUCGUGAUGCUUAAUGAGUUAGAGAACCCUAAUACCUUAUUUAUAGACUUUAGAAUCAAUUAGAGUCGGAUUAGAAAGUUUUCGGAUUUUUACACUUGGUACCGGUACUAAAUCAAGUUGUUACCGGUUACAAAAAGGACGACACAGAAAACUGCUUCAAUAUUGAUAACCGGUUACAAUGUCAAUGCUGUACCGAAAUCAAGUUAGUACCGGUACUCUUUCAAUGCUGUACCGGUUCCAUAUACAAAUUUUCAGCAAAACUUGAUUUCAGGUUUCACAAAGUUUCGAAGCACUUUCUAAUCUACUAAAUUUUGAUUUUCAUGAUUCUAAUGUCUAUAACUAAGUAUGAAUCACCAUAACAUGAAUUAAAAGCUUACCUAAGCAUCGUGAUUCAUGUCGUGAGUUAUUUCUGAUUUUUUCAAGGUCUUGGAUUCUUCGAUCUUCAAAUGAUAUGCACCGAUCCUUCAAGACUCCGACUCAAUUCACGAAACAUGCCAACACACAAUACUUAACAGUUCGUCGUGGUGUUCAUCGAUGAAAAAGGACGUUGGAGAGUUUGUAGCUCGAUGUUUAACUUGUCAACAAGUGAAGGCUGAGCACUAACUACCCGCGGGAAAACUUCAGAGUUUGCCUAUACCCGUGUGGAAAUGGGAAAAGAUCACCAUAGACUUUGCUAUGGGAUUGCCUCGCUCACAGGCCGGGCAUGAUGCUAUUUGGGUGAUCAUGGAUAGGUUGACAAAAUUGGCCCACUUUAUACUUAUUCACACGACUUGGACAGGUGAGAGACUUGCACAGGUAUAUCUUGAUGAGAUUGUGCGGUUUCACGGGGUACCUACUUCGAUAGUUUCAGAUCAAGAUUCCCGAUUUGUAUCCCACUUUUGGAGGAGUCUGCAGGAUGUCUUGGGCACGCUCUUAGAUUUCAGCAUGGCUUUCUACCCUCAGAGUGAUGGGCAAUCUGAGCAUACUAUACAGACUCUAGAGGACAUGUUUCGAGCGUGUGUGAUAGACUUCCAGAGAGGAUGGUCACGGCAUUUACCGACGGCGGAGUUUGCUUAUAACAAUAGUUAUCAAGCAAGUAUCAAGAUGGCACCAUUCGAAGCGUUAUAUGGACGGAAGUGUAGAUCACCACUUCAUUGGAGUGAAGUCGGUGAGAGUUUGGCUGUAGGCCCCGAUGUGCUUUAGGAAGCAGAGAACAAGGUUCGCAUUGCUCGGGAGCGUUUGCUGAUGGCUCAGAGUAGACAGAGGAGUUAUGCUGAUAGACGUCGACGAGACUUGGAAUUCUAAGUUGGAGAUCAUGUCUUCUUGAAGGUCUCGCCGACAAAAGGAAUUAGAAGAUUUGGCAUGCGGGGAAAGUUGAGCCCCCGGUUAUUGGACAGUAUGAGAUUUUGGAGCGUGUAGGCCCGGUAGCGUAUCGGCUCGCACUACCAUCGAACCUAUCGGGUGUGCACAAUGUCUUCCGUGUAUCGGUCCUGCGGAAGUACAUCUUCGAUCUAACUCACGUUUUGGAUGUUUUACCAGUGGAGCUGAGGAAUGAUUUGAGCUUUGAGGAGCUACCUGUGAGGAUUGUGGCUCGCGAGGUGAAGAAGCUUCAGAAUCGUGAUAUUCCGUAUGUGAAGGUUUUUUGGAGCAACCACGAUGAGCGGGAGGCUACGUGGGAGUUCGAGAGCGUGCUGCAGGAGCGCUAUCCCCAUCUUUUUCAGAUGGAGUCUUUAGGUACUUUGCCUUUUAGUUUCGCGGACGAAACUUCUUUUCAAGAGGGGAGAAUGUAAGACACUGAACUUUAGCAAAUUGUAAGGUUCGAGUGUUUGAUUU
rnacentral:lncRNA from 1 species